CUAAAAAGGAAUAUUUGAACCCAAAACACGAUCUCACCUCACUCUCUACCCUGCCCUCGCGAUACGAACAUCUAAAGCCCCGCUGCUGCAUUUCCAACUCUCUCAGUAAACGAGGACAACUGGGUAUGCAACCAACUCUCGUUCAAUUUUAUCAAAAACUCUAUACAGACGAGGGAAAUCGGGAGACUAAACGGGGAAAGAGAGGAAGUAAGGGUUUUGCAGAGGGAGAACUAGGUUAGGGUUUUGCCAUGGAUAGUGGAGGCGUAGCGCCACAGCUGUCAGAGGAGGCAACUCAUCAUCUGCAACAAGGCAUAGUAAUGCUUCUGUCGCAGUGGUCUGCUCUCCAGAUGGCCGUCCAUAACGAGUGGGGUGGUCGUCAGUCUAGCCAGCUUGCCGACCAACUCGCCCUCGACAUCUUCUCCUGGUUCACACACUCCAGGGAGCCGCUUUACAUUGAUGAUUUGGAAAA